rnacentral:rRNA from 1 species
UACGUAGGUGGCAAGCGUUACUCGGAAUCACUAGGCGUAAAGCGCAGGUAGGCGGUUUGAUAAGUCUGUUGUGAAAGCUCCCGGCUCAACUGGGAGAGGUCAACGGAAACUGUCAGGCUAGAGUGUGGUAGAGGUAGCUGGAAUUCCUGGUGUAGCGGUGAAAUGCGUAGAUAUCGGGAGGAAUACCUAUGGCGAAAGCAGGCUACUGGACCAUCACUGACGCUGAUCUGCGAAAGCUAGGGGAGCAAACAGG